AUUGGACGCUGGCGGCAUGCCUUACACAUGCAAGUCGAACGGUAACGCGGGGCAACCUGGCGACGAGUGGCGAACGGGUGAGUAAUGCAUCGGAACGUGCCCAGUAGUGGGGGAUAGCCCGGCGAAAGCCGGAUUAAUACCGCAUACGACCUACGGGUGAAAGCGGGGGACCGGUAAGGCCUCGCGCUGUUGGAGCGGCCGAUGUCAGAUUAGGUAGUUGGUGGGGUAAAGGCCUACCAAGCCUUCGAUCUGUAGCUGGUCUGAGAGGACGACCAGCCACACUGGGACGUGAGACACGGCCCAGACUCCUACGGGAGGCAGCAGUAGGGAAUAUUGGACAAUGGGGGGAACCCGUGAUCCAGCCAUGCCGCGUGAGGGAAGAAGGUCCUCUGGAUUGUAAACCUCUUUUGGCAGGAAACAAACCUGCGCUAUACGCGCAGCUGAGGGUACCUGCAGAAUAAGCACCGGCUAACUCCGUG
rnacentral:rRNA from 1 species